AACGAACGCUGGCGGCAUGCCUAACACAUGCAAGUCGAACGAUCCCUUCGGGGAUAGUGGCGCACGGGUGCGUAACGCGUGGGAACCUGCCCUUAGGUUCGGAAUAACUCAGAGAAAUUUGAGCUAAUACCGGAUAAUGUCUUCGGACCAAAGAUUUAUCGCCUUUGGAUGGGCCCGCGUUGGAUUCGCUAGUUGGUGGGGUAAAGGCCUACCAAGGCGACGAUCCAUAGCUGGUCUGAGAGGAUGAUCAGCCACACUGGGACUGAGACACGGCCCAGACUCCUACGGGGAGCAGCAGUGGGGAAUAUUGGACGAUGGGCGAAAGCCUGAUCCAGCAAUGCCGGGUGAGUGAUGAAGGGCUUAGGGUUGUAAAGCUCUUUUACCCGGGAUGAUAAUGACAGUACCGGGAGAAUAAGCCCCGGCUAACUACGUG
rnacentral:rRNA from 1 species